CAGCCGCCGCGGUAAUACAGGGGGUGCGAGCGUUAAUCGGAUUUACUGGGCGUAAAGCGUGCGUAGGCGGCUUUUUAAGUCGGAUGUGAAAUCCCUGAGCUUAACUUAGGAAUUGCAUUCGAUACUGGGAAGCUAGAGUAUGGGAGAGGAUGGUAGAAUUCCAGGUGUAGCGGUGAAAUGCGUAGAGAUCUGGAGGAAUACCGAUGGCGAAGGCAGCCAUCUGGCCUAAUACUGACGCUGAGGUACGAAAGCAUGGGGAGCAAACAGGAUUAGAUACCCCGGUAGUCCCUGUCUCUUAUAA
rnacentral:rRNA from 1 species